GAGGACCAGACACCAAAGGGGUCGGUGGACACAGUGGACGCGCUCCGUGCACGGCGGGCACGGCGGUCAAACGCAGCCCAGAGGACGUCUCAGAUUCCCCCGACGGGGCGGCCCUGCUCCCCGCGCCCUGUGUCGGCGAUCGAACCUCUCCCGCAGAUUCGCGGACUGAAGAGGAACUCGAUCGGGAACCGCGGGGACCAGGGCUCGCCGACCUUCUUUCAGUGCGCCCUCCUGGCCGCCAGGCGCGCCGUCCCGCCGCCUAGGCAGCGGUCGGGCUCCGCUGGGACUCUGUCCGGACAGGGAGCCCAGAACUGGAAGCCCUGCGCUCCGCCCCUUGGAGACGGGACCUCCCGCGGGUGCUCCCUGCUGCGGACCCCACGCUGCACGCGCACACACAAUGCCCGCGCGCGGUGCUCCGCUCCGCUCCGCCCGUUGGCGCAUUCACACUGAGAGGGGCUCGAUCUUCUCUUUCCCUCUGCUCGGAAAAGGGCGCCUGGGAAGGCGUGCGGCGUCCGGGUGGCAGCCGGCACAGGGGCAGGUCCUGAUUAGCCUAGGGAGUUCGCGGACCAGCAGCGAGGGGUCAGGAGUUUGUACUCGGCUGUGCCUUCGAGAUCCAGAGUUUUCGGAAGGAUUUCCCUACUUGACAGCCUGAAAAAAUAACCCAGUCAGGAGGAGAACUCACUCAAGCGGGUCCUAGUUGCUCGAGAGACUGAAGGACUGCGUCUCCCGGACCAGGAGCGCGCUAGGACCCUCACUGUGCACCCACCCAGAGACCAAGGGGGUGGGGGACCUCCUGGGUGCCUAGGGCCUGACCCAGGAGCUGUUCUACCGAGUGAUGCUACCGCUUAGCCUCCACAAAGCGUUCAGCUGCGUGUAUCUCUAAGACAGGAUAAAGUCUCACACUACUCAUGGGCUGUUUCUUCCAGUUGGCGUUGUGUUUGUUUAAAACCUGCGCUAGGAUGUUGGACAGGAAAAGAAAUCAUACUGGGUACCCUAAUUCUAUUUGCCUUUUUGUGUGUUUUACAGUUAUUAUAUCUGGGCUGAGUUUGACACAGUCUUGUAACAGACUCUUCUUUAUGGGUGUGUUUGAAACAAAGCCUUGGAACAAAUUUUAGAAGGCAAUAUAAUCAGACAAAAAUUUUAAAGAGUUGGGCAUGGUGAUGCAUGUCUUUAAUUCCAGCGCUUGGGAGGCCGAGGCAGGCAGAUUUCUGUGAGUUUAAGGCCAGUUUUGUCCACAAAGUGAGUUCUAGGGCGACCAGGACUACAUAAAGAGGCCCUGUCUCAAAAAGGGAGUUUGUGUGAAAAUACAAAUAGAUAAAC
rnacentral:lncRNA from 1 species